rnacentral:rRNA from 1 species
UACGGAGGGUGCAAGCGUUAUCCGGAUUCACUGGGUUUAAAGGGUGCGUAGGUGGGAUGGUAAGUCCGUGGUGAAAUCUCCAAGCUUAACUUGGAAACUGCCGUGGAUACUAUCAUUCUUGAAUCUCGUGGAGGUAAGCGGAAUAUGUCAUGUAGCGGUGAAAUGCUUAGAUAUGACAAAGAACACCAAUUGCGAAGGCAGCUUGCUACACUGUUAUUGACACUGAGGCACGAAAGCGUGGGGAUCAAACAGG